rnacentral:rRNA from 1 species
AAUGAACGUUGGCGGCGUGGAUUAGGCAUGCGAGUCGUGCGAGAACCGUAGCAAUACGGGGACAGCGGCGAAAGGGAGAGGAACACGUGGAUACCUACCCUCAGGUUCAGGAUAGCUAUGGGAAACUAUAGGUAAUACUGAAUAAUAUCUCCGGAUCAAAGGUGUGAUUCCGCCGGAGGAGGGGUCCGCGUCCUAUUAGCUAGUUGGUGAGGUAAUGGCUCACCAAGGCGAAGAUGGGUACGGGAUGUGAGAGCAUGAUCCCGCUCAUUGGGACUGAGACACUGCCCAGACACCUACGGGUGGCUGCAGUCGAGAAUCUUCGGCAAUGGGGGAAACCCUGACCGAGCGACGCCGCGUGUGAGAUGAAGGCCUUCGGGUUGUAAAGUCACUGUCGUAGAGGAGGAAGUGUAGGUGGGUUCUCCACUUAUUGUACCUAUUCUAGGUAGGAAGG